UGUGAGACCUUCCUGAGGGAGAGAGGUCAGACAGGCCUCUGCCAAAAGCACAAUAGGAAACUGGAGCUGUUCUGCAGAGAAGACCAGCAGCUGCUGUGUCUGGUGUGUCGAGACUCAAAGCUGCACAAAGAUCAUCACUUCAGCCCUGCAGAUGAGGCGGCCUCUGAGAGGAAGGAGGAGCUGAAUGUCAAACUGGAUCCCCUGAAAAAGAAACUGGAGGAUUUUGAGGAAGAAAAACUCACCUGUGAUAAAACAGCUGAACACAUUAAGACUCAAGCUGUGAACACAGAGAGGCAGAUCAAGCAGGAGUUUGAGAAGCUUCACCAGUUUCUACGAGAUGAAGAGGCAGCCAGGAUAGCUGCACUGAGGGAGGAAGAGGAGCAGAAGAGUCAGAUGAU